GGUUCGUAGGUGAACCUGCGGAAGGAUCAUUA
rnacentral:rRNA from 1 species